rnacentral:rRNA from 1 species
UACGAAGGUGGCAAGCGUUGUUCGGAUUUACUGGGCGUACAGGGAGCGUAGGCGGUUGGAUAAGCCCUCCGUGAAAUCUCCAGGCUUAACCUGGAAAGUGCAGAGGGGACUGUUCAGCUAGAGGAUGGGAGAGGAGCGCGGAAUUCCCGGUGUAGCGGUGAAAUGCGUAGAGAUCGGGAGGAACACCAGUGGCGAAGGCGGCGAUCUGGGAAGAUACUGACGCUGAGGUGCGAAAGCGUGGGGAGCAAACAGG